rfam:Beta vulgaris subsp. vulgaris chromosome 8, whole genome shotgun sequence.
CCAACCUUAGCUCAGCUGGCAGAGCGGAGGACUGUAGCUGUUCAAAUAGUAAUCUUUAGGUUGCUGGUUCAAAUCUGACAGGUCGGA